UACGUAGGGGGCAAGCGUUGUCCGGAAUUAUUGGGCGUAAAGGGCUCGUAGGCGGUCUGUUGCGUCGGGUGUGAAAACUCAGGGCUUAACCCUGAGCCUGCUUCCGAUACGGGCAGACUAGAGGUAUGCAGGGGAGAACGGAAUUCCUGGUGUAGCGGUGAAAUGCGCAGAUAUCAGGAGGAACACCGGUGGCGAAGGCGGGUCUCUGGGCCGAUACUGACGCUGAGGAGCGAAAGCGUGGGGAGCAAACAGG
rnacentral:rRNA from 1 species